rnacentral:lncRNA from 10 species
GCCUGGAGCUGUUUUGAAGUCUGACGGGAGUGAGCUGGGUAGGGAAAGUGGGGGGAAGAGUGCUCCGGGCAGACAGGACAAAGUGCAGACAGUAGGGUAAGGAGGCACGGUGGGGGACGCAGCUCACAUGUUGCUGUGAGCAGAGCACAGAGCACAGGGCAGUGCCUGGCAGAAGUGGGUCUGGAAAGGGUGCCUCCUGGAGCCAUGAAUGCCAAGCCCAGGGUCUUGGACUGUAUCCUGAAGGCAGCAAGGAGGCACUGAAGGCAUUAGAGCGAAGCAAGGAGAACUGUCAGGCCAGGGGAGACUAUACCCAAGGAAGAAGAAACCAGAGAAAGGACAGGAAGGUUUGGUGGCAGCGACUAGUCUCGAGACGGCAGUCCCCAGAACAGGGCUGGAUGUGUCCCCACCAGUAGACAGGCCCAGAUGCAAGGCCUCUGAUGUGU